rnacentral:rRNA from 1 species
GGUUAAGCGACUAAGCGUACACGGUGGAUGCCCUGGCAGUCAGAGGCGAUGAAGGGCGUGCUAAUCUGCGAUAAGCGCCGGUAAGGUGAUAUGAACCGUUAUAACCGGCGAUACCCGAAUGGGGAAACCCAGUGUGACUCGUCACACUAUCAUUAACUGAAUCCAUAGGUUAAUGAGGCGAACCGGGGGAACUGAAACAUCUAAGUACCCCGAGGAAAAGAAAUCAACCGAGAUUCCCCCAGUAGCGGCGAGCGAACGGGGAGGAGCCCAGAGCCUGAAUCAGCAUGUGUGUUAGUGGAAGCGUCUGGAAAGGCGCGCGAUACAGGGUGACAGCCCCGUACACAAAAGCGCAUGUGCUGUGAGCUCGAUGAGUAGGGCGGGACACGUGGUAUCCUGUCUGAAUAUGGGGGGACCAUCCUCCAAGGCUAAAUACUCCUGACUGACCGAUAGUGAACCAGUACCGUGAGGGAAAGGCGAAAAGAACCCCGGCGAGGGGAGUGAAAAAGAACCUGAAACCGUGUACGUACAAGCAGUGGGAGCACCCUUUGGGGUGUGACUGCGUACCUUUUGUAUAAUGGGUCAGCGACUUAUAUUCUGUAGCAAGGUUAACCGUAUAGGGGAGCCGUAGGGAAACCGAGUCUUAACCGGGCGUUAAGUUGCAGGGUAUAGACCCGAAACCCGGUGAUCUAGCCAUGGGCAGGUUGAAGGUUGGGUAACACUAACUGGAGGACCGAACCGACUAAUGUUGAAAAAUUAGCGGAUGACCUGUGGCUGGGGGUGAAAGGCCAAUCAAACCGGGAGAUAGCUGGUUCUCCCCGAAAGCUAUUUAGGUAGCGCCUCGUGAAUUCAUCUCCGGGGGUAGAGCACUGUUUCGGCUAGGGGGCCAUCCCGGCUUACCAACCCGAUGCAAACUGCGAAUACCGGAGAAUGUUAUCACGGGAGACACACGGCGGGUGCUAACGUCCGUCGUGAAGAGGGAAACAACCCAGACCGCCAGCUAAGGUCCCAAAGUCAUGGUUAAGUGGGAAACGAUGUGGGAAGGCCCAGACAGCCAGGAUGUUGGCUUAGAAGCAGCCAUCAUUUAAAGAAAGCGUAAUAGCUCACUGGUCGAGUCGGCCUGCGCGGAAGAUGUAACGGGGCUAAACCAUGCACCGAAGCUGCGGCAGCGACGCUGAUGCGUUGUUGGGUAGGGGAGCGUUCUGUAAGCCUGCGAAGGUGAGCCGUGAGGGUUGCUGGAGGUAUCAGAAGUGCGAAUGCUGACAUAAGUAACGAUAAAGCGGGUGAAAAGCCCGCUCGCCGGAAGACCAAGGGUUCCUGUCCAACGUUAAUCGGGGCAGGGUGAGUCGACCCCUAAGGCGAGGCCGAAAGGCGUAGUCGAUGGGAAACGGGUUAAUAUUCCCGUACUUGGUGUUACUGCGAAGGGGGGACGGAGAAGGCUAUGUUGGCCGGGCGACGGUUGUCCCGGUUUAAGCGUGUAGGUGUGUGUUCCAGGUAAAUCCGGUUCACUUUAACACUGAGGCGUGACGACGAGGCACUACGGUGCUGAAGCAACAAAUGCCCUGCUUCCAGGAAAAGCCUCUAAGCAUCAGGUAACAUCAAAUCGUACCCCAAACCGACACAGGUGGUCAGGUAGAGAAUACCAAGGCGCUUGAGAGAACUCGGGUGAAGGAACUAGGCAAAAUGUGCCGUAACUUCGGGAGAAGGCACGCUGACACGUAGGUGAAGUGAUUUACUCAUGGAGCUGAAGUCAGUCGAAGAUACCAGCUGGCUGCAACUGUUUAUUAAAAACACAGCACUGUGCAAACACGAAAGUGGACGUAUACGGUGUGACGCCUGCCCGGUGCCGGAAGGUUAAUUGAUGGGGUCAGCGCAAGCGAAGCUCCUGAUCGAAGCCCCGGUAAACGGCGGCCGUAACUAUAACGGUCCUAAGGUAGCGAAAUUCCUUGUCGGGUAAGUUCCGACCUGCACGAAUGGCGUAAUGAUGGCCAGGCUGUCUCCACCCGAGACUCAGUGAAAUUGAACUCGCUGUGAAGAUGCAGUGUACCCGCGGCAAGACGGAAAGACCCCGUGAACCUUUACUAUAGCUUGACACUGAACAUUGAGCCUUGAUGUGUAGGAUAGGUGGGAGGCUUUGAAGCGUGGACGCCAGUCUGCGUGGAGCCGACCUUGAAAUACCACCCUUUAAUGUUUGAUGUUCUAACGUGGACCCGUAAUCCGGGUUGCGGACAGUGUCUGGUGGGUAGUUUGACUGGGGCGGUCUCCUCCUAAAGAGUAACGGAGGAGCACGAAGGUUGGCUAAUCCUGGUCGGACAUCAGGAGGUUAGUGCAAUGGCAUAAGCCAGCUUGACUGCGAGCGUGACGGCGCGAGCAGGUGCGAAAGCAGGUCAUAGUGAUCCGGUGGUUCUGAAUGGAAGGGCCAUCGCUCAACGGAUAAAAGGUACUCCGGGGAUAACAGGCUGAUACCGCCCAAGAGUUCAUAUCGACGGCGGUGUUUGGCACCUCGAUGUCGGCUCAUCACAUCCUGGGGCUGAAGUAGGUCCCAAGGGUAUGGCUGUUCGCCAUUUAAAGUGGUACGCGAGCUGGGUUUAGAACGUCGUGAGACAGUUCGGUCCCUAUCUGCCGUGGGCGCUGGAGAACUGAGGGGGGCUGCUCCUAGUACGAGAGGACCGGAGUGGACGCAUCACUGGUGUUCGGGUUGUCAUGCCAAUGGCACUGCCCGGUAGCUAAAUGCGGAAGAGAUAAGUGCUGAAAGCAUCUAAGCACGAAACUUGCCCCGAGAUGAGUUCUCCCUGAGACUUAGAGUCUCCUGAAGGAACGUUGAAGACGACGACGUUGAUAGGCCGGGUGUGUAAGCGCAGCGAUGCGUUGAGCUAACCGGUACUAAUGAACCGUGAGGCUUAACCUU